UCUACCGAUUGGACGCUGCGGUGAAGACCUGGGAUUGGGGAGAGGGGUUUGGAGGUUUUCCGAUUUCCAGCCCCUCGUCCCGAGAACUCGUCUGAACCCCAUCGUCUAGAGGAAGAAGAAGUCGUAACAAGGUU
rnacentral:rRNA from 1 species